UUGUGACAGUCCUGGGUCCUCACGACAGACUAGCAGUGCCAGUGAGGCCAUCCACCUGCCCCUGGGUCUCCCACUACCCAUCCAUUCCCCAAGACUCCAGGCUGAAACCAAAGGAGCAGCUCGGAAGGAUGGCGGAGACGAGAGGGCAGAUAAAGCUUCAGGCUGUGUUGGCCUGUGCCCAGACUCCUGUCACCCGAACUGCCCUCACUCCUAUCCACCUGCACUCUCCCAAGCUACCCCUAUGGCACAGACUGCCUGUAGCCGUUUACCACUGCCAGCCCUUAAAAGUGGCCAGUCUAGAUACAUAUGGUGCCACAUGCUAUAUAGUCUUACAGUAAUCUCUGGAGAAAAAAAAAAACUCGACGGGAUUAAGGAGUGGCAGAAGUUCGAGGCUAGCCUACACCACACAGUAUACCCUGUUUCCGUGUCAGAAAACAAGCAGGCCUGGUGAUCUGAGUUGGAUUGCCAGGGAGAGAACCAACUCCACAGAGCUGUCCUCCAAACUCCACACGUCUGCCCUUGGGUACAAACACAAAGAAAUGAGAAUGGGCUGUGUAUAAUAGGCUGGAUGUGAGUGGGGUGGUGUUGGCGCACACCUUUCAUCCCAGCAGGAAGGAGGUAGAGGAAGGUGGGUCUCUGAGUUUGAGGCCAGCCUGGUCCACAGAGCAAGUUUCAGUAUAGCCAGGGCUACAUAGUGAAACCCUGUCUGGAAAAACCAAACAAAAAAACAGUAGGAUGGAUGUGUAGCUCACUGGUGGAGUCCUUGCCUGGUGUGUGCUGGGUCCCUUUCCAAUCUGCAUGUGUGAACACAGGUUUGGCUGUGUUGCCUCCUGAACUCAGUGGCUUUGUAUCUGAGGGGGCAGGUCACAUAUGGCCCCAGCAAACAUGGCACUCCAGGAAGUCCCUGCAGUCCUUCUGUCCAUGCUUUUCCUGUCACUCUUUAUCCCUCUGGAGCCCAGGGAGGACAGGGCUGGAGUGUCUUGCGUGGCUCUCACUCUGUGUUGUCCACCCCUUCGUCGGGUUUCCUAAGGAAAGGAGCGGUUCUUUGUGGGCAGAGCUAUCAUGGGAGGCCCAAGGCUGCACCUGGGCUGACCACCCACAGGUCGUCAAAGCCAGUGAGUCAGUCUACCAGUUUCUCAACAGAGGGGGGCUUCCUCCUCAGCCCAGCUUCCUCCCCAGCCUCUCCACUCCCACCCUUCCCCUAGUGGAAGCAGCAGGUGGCUGGAGCACUGAGGAUCAAGAGACAAAUGUACUCCUUCCCCUAGACUAGCAGUCCAGAGCUGCCUCAUGCUCUAGCCUUUCCCAGGACUGAGCAAACGGUCCCCAGGUCUGGACCAAGGUCCACACUGGCCUUUAUCACAUCUGCUCUAGCACCAAGUCUGAUGCUUAUAGCAGCAGCAGCAUCUUUAAAUGGGGAAACUGAGGCCCACAGGAGGCUCUUCUCUGAGGUCACAGAAAAAAUAAAGAGGAGUAGGUCUCAAGUGUCAGGCCUGCAGUGCUGGGGCCCCUCAGACCUCCUUGUCCCCAUUGUCCUGCCCUCUCCCCCCUCCACACACAGUGACUAUGAUGCUGAGGACAUUCUCAGUGUGGCUUUGGCCUGAGAUGGAUUCGUGUCUCUAGUGUCCUCUGCUGCAACUCAGCCUCAGUUUACUUAUUGUGAGCCCUGCUGCAGGCAGUGCCCAGCACCUUUGAAACCAGAUAGGAUGUUGCCAGCCUGUAACCCUGGAGCUCAGGAGUAGAAUCGGGAGGAUCAGAAGUUCAAGAUCCCCUUCAGGAACAUAGCAAGUUCGAGACCAGCCAGGUGUCUGUGAGAUCUUGUCUCAAAAACAAAACUCAACU
rnacentral:lncRNA from 1 species